AGAUGUUCAAGUAUCAGUAAAUUCUUCUGGUCUUGCUCCAAAGGGUGUAGGCUCAAGAGCCUGCAGAGAAGAUGAAUUAAUUUCUCAUUUCCAAGUGUAGAAGAUAUAGCAAAUUCAUCUUUGCUUCUUUCCUGAAAGGAUCAAUUGACACAGAGAGUCUUUUUUGCAGAAUGGAAGGACAAUUCAAUCUUUCAUCAGGGAAUAGAAUGUUCACAGCCCAGGAUGAUCGGUGGCCUUCUUACAAGAAGCUG